CGGAGAGGGAGCAUGAGAAACGGCUACCACUUCUAAGGAAGGCAGCAGGCGCGCAAAUUACCCAAUCCUGACUCAGGGAGGUAGUGACAAGAAAUAACAAUAAACCGGCUUAUGCCGGUUUAAUUGGAAUGAGUACAAUUUAAACAUCUUAACGAGGAACAAUUGGAGGGCAAGUCUGGUGCCAGCAGCCGCGGUAAUUCCAGCUCCAAUAGCGUAUACUAAAGUUGUUGCAGUUAAAAAGCUCGUAGUUGGAUUUCUGCGGGGACGGAGCGGCCGGUCGCAACUUGCGACUCGAGCUAGCGCUUUCCCCGCAUCCUGCCGCGAACCGUGCUACCAUUAGCUUGGUGGCGCUGGGGAUCGGCUCGAUUACUUUGAGAAAAAUAGAGUGUUCAAAGCAGGCCACACGCCUUGAAUAAGUUAGCAUGGAAUAAUGACUAAGGACUUCGGUUCUAUUUUGUUGGUGUUCGGGACUGAAGUAAUGAUUGAUAGGGACAGUUGGGGCGGUCUGUACUCCAAAGCGAGAGGUGAAAUUCUUAGACCUUCGGAAGACAAACAGCUGCGAAAGCGUUCCACAAGGAUGUUCCCUUUGAUCAAGAACGAAAGUUGGGGGAUCGAAGACGAUCAGAUACCGUCGUAGUCUCAACUAUAAACUAUACCAGCUAGGGAUCGGUCAACGUUUAAUCAUUCGACUUGAUCGGCACCUUAUGAGAAAUCAAAGCAUCUGGGUUCCGGGGGGAGUAUGGUCGCAAGGCUGAAACUUAAAGGAAUUGACGGAAGGGCACCACCAGCCGUGGAGCCUGUGGCUUAAUUUGACUCAACACGGGAAAACUUACCAGGUCCAGACAUAGUAAGGAUUGACAGAUUGAUAGCUCUUUCUUGAUUCUGUGGGUGGUGGUGCAUGGCUGUUCUUAGUUGGUGGAGUGAUUUGUCUGGUUAAUUCCGUUAACGAACGAGACCCCAGCCUGCUAAAUAGCGCGGCUGAGCUUUGCUCGGUGCGAGCUUCUUAGAGGGACUAUGAUGCGCGAUAGCACAUGGAAGUUUGGGGCAAUAACAGGUCUGUGAUGCCCUUAGAUGUUCUGGGCCGCACACGGGCUACACUGGCGCCUGCAACGAGCAUAUCAGCUGGCCCGAGAGGGUCUUGGCUAAUCUUUUGAACCGGCGCCGUGCUUGGGAUUGACCGUUGCAAUUGUUGGUCAUGCAACGAGGAAUGCCUUGUAAACGCGAGUCAUCAGCUCGCAUUGAAUACGUCCCUGCCCUUUGUACACACCGCCCGUCGCUCCUACCGAUGAAUGUUCCGAUGAAAUUUUCGGAGAGCGCCAGGGAACGGGGCUCCGCCUUGCAGAUCUGGAGGCUCAAAGUCACUUAAAUCUGAACAUUUCGAGGAAGGAGAAGUCGUAACAAGGUAACC
rnacentral:rRNA from 1 species